GCAGGUCGGCCCGUCCCCGCGGGGCUCGCCCGGCACCGGGGGCGGUGGCACCGGACAGCGGCGCGGGCCGGGCCCGUCCUCCUCUUCCUGAGAGCGGGUCAGGCUUCGGAGAGUCGCUCUUCUUAUUUUCUCUUUCCUGUCUCCUGCAGAGACUUAAUAAAGAGCCGCCGACUACGUGUUUGAACGACAA